UAUAAAGUGCCUGAUUAAAGGAUUAUUAUGAUAUAAUAAAUAAAGUAUUGAAUAUACCUUUAUAU
rnacentral:tRNA from 1 species